rnacentral:snoRNA from 1 species
AUAUAUAUGUGUGUGUUGUGUGUGUGUGUGUGUUGUGUGUGUGUGUGUGUGUAUGAAUACACACAACACACACACACACACACACAUACACACACACACACACACACACACACACACACACACAUAUAUAUAUAUAUAUAUAAUAUAUAUAUAUAUAUAUAUAUAUAUAUAUACACACAC